CCUACGGGUGGCAGCAGUGAGGAAUAUUGGUCAAUGGGCGCAAGCCUGAACCAGCAAAGUCGCGUGAGGGAUGACGGUCCUAUGGAUUGUAAACCUCUUUUGUCGGGGAGCAAGGCCCGCCACGUGUGGCGGGAAGGAGAGUACCCGAAGAAAAAGCAUCGGCUAACUCCGUGCCAGCAGCCGCGGUAAUACGGAGGAUGCUAGCGUUAUCCGGAUGUAUUGGGUUUAAUGGGUGCGUAGGCGGUUCGAUAAGUUAGAGGUGAAAUCCCGGGGCUCGACUCCGGCACUGCCUCGGAUACUGUCGGGCUAGAGUGUAGUUGCGGUAGGCGGAAUGUAUGGUGUAGCGGUGAAAUGCAGAGAGAUCAUACAGAACACCGAUUGCGAAGGCAGCUUACCAAACUGCGACUGACGUUGAGGCACGAAAGCGUGGGGAGCAAACAGGAUUAGAUACCCGAGUAGUC
rnacentral:rRNA from 1 species